CAAAGCCGUUACCAACAUGAGUUUAAGUGUUGAUUUGACUCUUCUACUAAUUUUAUUUGCAUAAUUACUUUGAAUAUGACUUUUAGAAUGCUACGAAUUUCAUUAUGAUCAUAUGUAGACUUAUUUUUAAGAGCACUCUUGUUUCUUUUCAAGAAUAUGAAAUAGUCAUAUGAAUCCUUUAAAUUCUAAGUUUAUUUAUCAAUCUAUGCAUGUAUGUUUAAUCGUAAAACAAACAUGUUUAAGGCAUUUUUGAGUUAAUUAACUAAUUUAACAUAUGUGAAUUUAUUUGUCAUUCCUAAAUACGAUUUUCACCAAUAGUUUGAAUCAAACUUAUUGUUAACAAGUGUUAUCAUCAAAAUUAAAUAUGUCAUUAUUUCAACAAAUGGUUCAUUAACUAAUUCUUUGUAUGUUGAAAUAAUCAUCAACCUAAUCUUAAAAGGGGUUUACGAAUGAAUCAAAAUUUCAUACAACAACAAACCAAAUUUGAGCUUAGCUCAAGAGAUUGUACAUAAAUUGGCAAAAACAUAAAGAAUUACUGAAAUGAUGUGGUAAUUCACAAUUUUUAAGAAUGUGGUGUUACGUAACUAGAAUUAAACUAUUAAAUAUAGUCAAGGAACUUGAUUGUAUGCGCCUGAUUGACUUUUAAUAUGAUCCACAAUUAACCGAGGUUAAAUCUACACUAUAUUUUAUCCUCUCUCCUUUUCAAAAUGACUUUCUAAUAUUUCUUUUCUUUGCUCAUUAAAAUGGCACAUAGACCUAUUAAAAUACGACACGCAAUGGUGAAUAUUUUAUUUUGGAAGAAGGGGCUCAAAAUCACAUUGUUAGUUCUUCAUUAAAAUCGUGGAAAAAAGUUUUAUUUGCACAGUAUAACCCAGCUACUCCUGGUGACUCUACACAAAAUCUUCCCAGCUAGCUCAAAAAUUAUCAUGCCCUUGGCACUAUCAAUUUAAUAUAAUUUGAACUACUUCAUUUUCAAUUAGGAAAGUUUCUUAAUUAGUUGUCUAUAAUAGGUCAUGUUGACUAUAUUGAUUUUCUCAUUAUUCUACUUUAUUUAGUUUUUCUUGUUUAGAAUAUAGGCUGUAAUAUAUAUUAAGAGGACAAUGAUUAAUAAAAUUAAGCCUUUACAUAUUUCUUUUUGGUAUCAGAACCAACUAAACCCUAGCCUCCAACACUGCCUUCACAAUAGCCUAAACCCUAACCCACUAGCCACCAGCCAUAGGCCAACAACAGUCCUGCCUCUAUGCAUUCCCUGUGCAACCCAGUCCAACCAACAAUCACCAGACUCAACACUUGUAACAUCCUCUUCCCUUGUGCAGCCACCACUGCAGUCACCAGCAGCCCAACCCAACCCUCACACACAGAGCCCUUGCACAACAAGUCAUCUCGUGCAUAACCAUGCUUUGUACAGUCCAUCCUUGCGCCGUCUAGCACCGUUCAGGCCUUGCACAGGCAAGCUCUUGCACAGUCGCGCAGUCUAGCUUCGUUCAAGCCUCACACAGGCCAACGCAUACACCAUCAAGCAGUCCUGUAGGCCAGCCCAUGUGCCAUCCAGUAGCAUCAUAGUCCAGCAUAGCCGCAUAUUCCAGCAACCCCUACAUCGUCUAGUAGUCCUAUAGGCCAUCCCCUGCACUGUCUAGUACAUUUAGCAGCCGCGCAAUCUAGCACAGCCACACAGUCUAGCAACCAGUAGCCCCAUAAUCCAACAACCAGUAGUCAGUAGUCUAGCGCAGCCAUCAGUUGCACAGUGCAAUUCAGCCUCCAGUCAUUGCGUAGUCUAGUGUAGCCAGCAGUAGCUGCUCGUGCAGUCCAUAUAUCGUGAAGUCUAUAUGUCUGAUAGUAUGACACUUUAAAAAAAAUAUAUUCUCCUUUGAUUUCCUAAGAUUGAUUCUUGGUGUUACGUUGAUAGUUAACCCAGUCAAGGAGGUUGCCCCAGCCCAUAUGGUUUUGUGCCCAACUCCUAUCUACCUAUCUUUUAGUCCCACGGACGCUAUAGUUGCAGGUACUCUUAUCGCUUUUCAUGAUAAGUCAAGUCACCCCACUUGAAUUCUGAAUUUUGGAGCUAAUAAUAACAUGACUGGUGAGCUUUCUACUUUUACCUCUUCUAUUAGUUUCAUAAAUCAAUCUGUUUGUAUUGCUGAUGGACCAUCUAUUCCCAUUUAUAGUCAGGGUGAUGCCCACUUUUCCACAGAUAUUACUCUUUCCUCAAUUUAUUAUGCUCUGAAUUUUGCCUAUAAUUUUCUUUCUGUUAGUUGUCUUGCAAAAAACCUUAAUUGUGCCGUUGUAGUCUUACCAUCUCGUUGUUUCUUGCAGGACUUGAUUUCGAAGAAGAUUCUUGGCAGGGGAUAUGAGAGUGAUGAACUGUACUACUUUGGGGAUCCGCCAACAUCUAUUGCUUUGUCCUUCAAUCUUCAAGCCUCUACUCUACCAGUCUUAGAGCCCUCCAUUUUAAGUUAGUCUAUAUUAAAUUCGUUUGUUUGUUCUAUUAAAACUUUAAAUUAGU
rnacentral:lncRNA from 1 species